UAACACGUGGGUAACCUGCCUUAAAGUGGGCCAUUACAAUUGGAAACAGGUGCUAAUACCGCAUAACCAUCAAAACCGCCUGGUUUUGAUGUUAAAGAUGGUUCUGCUAUCGCUUUAAGAUGGACCCGCGGCGUAUUAGCUAGUUGGUGAGGUAAUGGCUUACCAAGGCAAUGAUACGUAGCCGAACUGAGAGGUUGAUCGGCCACAUUGGGACUGAGACACGGCCCAAACUCCUACGGGAGGCAGCAGUAGGGAAUCUUCCACAAUGGACGAAAGUCUGAUGGAGCAACGCCGCGUGAGUGAAGAAGGUUUUCGGAUCGUAAAACUCUGUUGUCAGAGAAGAACGUGUGUGAGAGUAACUGUUCACGCAGUGACGGUAUCUGACCAGAAAGUCACGGCUAACUACGUGCCAGCAGCCGCGGUAAUACGUAGGUGGCAAGCGUUGUCCGGAUUUAUUGGGCGUAAAGGGAACGCAGGCGGUCUUUUAAGUCUGAUGUGAAAGCCUUCGGCUUAACCGAAGUCGGGCAUUGGAAACUGGGAGACUUGAGUGCAGAAGAGGAGAGUGGAACUCCAUGUGUAGCGGUGAAAUGCGUAGAUAUAUGGAAGAAUACCAGUGGCGAAAGCGGCUCUCUGGUCUGUAACUGACGCUGAGGUUCGAAAGCGUGGGUAGCAAACAGGAUUAGAUACCCUGGUAGUCCACGCCGUAAACGAUGAAUGCUAAGUGUUGGAGGGUUUCCGCCCUUCAGUGCCGCAGCUAACGCAUUAAGCAUUCCGCCUGGGGAGUACGAUCGCAAGAU
rnacentral:rRNA from 1 species